UCCUACGGGUGGCUGCAGUGGGGAAUAUUGCACAAUGGAGGAAACUCUGAUGCAGCAACGCCGCGUGGAGGAUGACGCAUUUCGGUGUGUAAACUCCUUUUAUAAGGGAAGAUAAUGACGGUACCUUAUGAAUAAGCACCGGCUAACUCCGUGCCAGCAGCCGCGGUAAUACGGAGGGUGCAAGCGUUACUCGGAAUCACUGGGCGUAAAGGAUGCGUAGGCUGGAAAUCAAGUCGAGAGUGAAAUCCAACGGCUCAACCGUUGAACUGCUCUCGAAACUGGUUACCUAGAAUAUGGGAGAGGUAGAUGGAAUUGGUGGUGUAGGGGUAAAAUCCGUAGAUAUCACCAGGAAUACCGAUUGCGAAGGCGAUCUACUGGAACAUUAUUGACGCUGAGGCAUGAAAGCGUGGGGAGCAAACAGGAUUAGAUACCCUAGUAGUCAUU
rnacentral:rRNA from 1 species